ACCAGCGGAGGGAUCAUUACUGAGUUAUUAAAACUCCAAACCCUUUGUGAACCUUACCGUCGUUGCCUCGGCGUGAGCUACGGCUACCCGGGAGCUACCCUGGAAGUACCCUAGAGUUACCCUAUAGCUACCCUGCAGCUACCCUAUACUUACCCUAUAGCUACCCUGCAGCUACCCUAUAGUUACCCUGGAGCUACCCUGGAGCUACCCUGUAGCCGGCUUAUGGCCCGCCGAAGGACAGCUAAACUCUUGUUUUUUACUACUGUUUCUCUGAAUUACAAACUGAAAUAAGUUAAAACUUUCAACAACGGAUCUCUUGGUUCUGGCAUCGAUGAAGAACGCAGCGAAAUGCGAUAAGUAAUGUGAAUUGCAGAAUUCAGUGAAUCAUCGAAUCUUUGAACGCACAUUGCGCCCAUUAGUAUUCUAGUGGGCAUGCCUAUUCGAGCGUCAUUUCGACCCCUAAGCCCCUGUUGCUUAGCGUUGGGAAUCUACAGCGUAGUUCCUCAAAAUUAGUGGCGGAGUUAGGGUACACUCUCAGCGUAGUAAUUUCUCUCGCUCGUGUGGUGGCCUUGGCUGCUAGCCGUUAAAACCCCUAUAAUUUCUAGUGGUUGACCUCGGAUUAGGUAGGAAUACCCGCUGAACUUAAGCAUAUCAAUAAGCGGAGGAAAAGAAACCAACAGGGAUUGCCUCAGUAACG
rnacentral:rRNA from 1 species